UUCGUAGGCGGUGCGGCAAGUCGGAAGUGAAAUCUCCAGGCUCAACUUGGAGGCUGCUCCCGAAACUGCCGCGCUAGAGUGCGGGAGAGGCCAGUGGAAUUGCAGGUGUAGCGGUGAAAUGCGUAGAUAUCUGCAGGAACACCCGUGGCGAAGGCGGCUGGCUGGACCGCAACUGACGCUGAGGAACGAAAGCUAGGGGAGCAAACA
rnacentral:rRNA from 1 species